AAUCAACGCUGGCGGCGUGCCUCAGACAUGCAAGUCGAACGAUUAAAGCUCUCUUCGGAGAGUGUAUAGAGUGGCGCACGGGUGAGUAACACGUAAGUAAUCUACCUUUGAGUGGGGAAUAACAGUCGGAAACGACUGCUAAUACCGCAUAAUGCAGCGGCACCGCGAGGUGACAGUUGUUAAAGGAGCAAUUCGCUUAAAGAGGAGCUUGCGGCAGAUUAGCUUGUUGGUAAGGUAACGGCUUACCAAAGGCUACGAUCUGUAUCCGGUCUUAGAGGACGGUCGGACACACUGACACUGAAUAACGGGUCAGACUCCUACGGGAGGCAGCAGUCGGGAAUUUUGGGCAA
rnacentral:rRNA from 1 species